rnacentral:tRNA from 1 species
GGAUAGCUCAGUUGGUUAGAGCAUGGUGCUGGUAACGCCAAGGUCACAGGUUCGAUCCCCGUAUGGGACU